rnacentral:rRNA from 1 species
AUGGAAGGGCCAUCGCUCAACGGAUAAAAGGUACUCCGGGGAUAACAGGCUGAUACCGCCCAAGAGUUCAUAUCGACGGCGGUGUUUGGCACCUCGAUGUCGGCUCAUCACAUCCUGGGGCUGAAGUAGGUCCCAAGGGUAUGGCUGUUCGCCAUUUAAAGUGGUACGCGAGCUGGGUUUAGAACGUCGUGAGACAGUUCGGUCCCUAUCUGCCGUGGGCGCUGGAGAACUGAGGGGGGCUGCUCCUAGUACGAGAGGACCGGAGUGGACGCAUCACUGGUGUUCGGGUUGUCAUGCCAAUGGCACUGCCCGGUAGCUAAAUGCGGAAGAGAUAAGUGCUGAAAGCAUCUAAGCACGAAACUUGCCCCGAGAUGAGUUCUCCCUGACCCUUUAAGGGUCCUGAAGGAACGUUGAAGACGACGACGUUGAUAGGCCGGGUGUGUAAGCGCAGCGAUGCGUUGAGCUAACCGGUACUAAUGAACCGUGAGGCUUAACCUU